rnacentral:rRNA from 1 species
GACGAACGCUGGCGGCGUGCUUAACACAUGCAAGUCGUACGGUAAGGCCCUUUCGGGGGUACACGAGUGGCGAACGGGUGAGUAACACGUGAGUAACCUGCCCACAACUUUGGGAUAACGCUAGGAAACUGGUGCUAAUACUGGAUAUGUGCUCCUGCUGCAUGGUGGGGGUUGGAAAGCUCCGGCGGUUGUGGAUGGACUCGCGGCCUAUCAGCUUGUUGGUGGGGUAGUGGCUUACCAAGGCUUUGACGGGUAGCCGGCCUGAGAGGGUGACCGGCCACAUUGGGACUGAGAUACGGCCCAGACUCCUACGGGAGGCAGCAGUGGGGAAUAUUGCACAAUGGGCGGAAGCCUGAUGCAGCAACGCCGCGUGCGGGAUGACGGCCUUCGGGUUGUAAACCGCUUUCGCCUGUGACGAAGCGUGAGUGACGGUAAUGGGUAAAGAAGCACCGGCUAACUACGUG